AUUGAACGCUGGCGGCAGGCCUAACACAUGCAAGUCGAACGAGUGGCGGACGGGUGAGUAAUGUCUGGGAAACUGCCCGAUGGAGGGGGAUAACUACUGGAAACGGUAGCUAAUACCGCAUACCAUCGGAUGUGCCCAGCUGGGAUUAGCUAGUAGGUGGGGUAACGGCUCACCUAGGCGACGAUCCCUCGCUGGUCUGAGAGGAUGACGAGCCACAAUGGGACUGAGACACGGUCCAGAAUCCUACGGGAGGCAGCAGUGGGGAAGAUUGCAAAAUGGGCGGAAGCCGGAUGGAGCAAUGCCGCGUGUAUGAAGAAGGCCUUCGGGUUGUAAAGUAAUUUCAGCGGGGAGGCGUUACCCGCAGAAGAAGCACCGGCUAACUCCGUGCCAGCAGCCGCGGUAAUAC
rnacentral:rRNA from 1 species